AAAAAGAGGUAAUAAAGAGGCACAUUGUCACAUUUAAAGGGAAAAACUUGUUAACAGUUGAACCAAUAAAUUGGGAAGAAAGAAGAGAAAAAGAGACAAUUAUUUGUUGGCACCAUGAAAGAGAGACCUGCGUGGCCCAAAGUGGGUCCGACAUAGACUGGGUCGAAGAGGAGACAAGUGGAGGGUCCGACCAUACCCUAACCACGUGCAUCACCGGCCCAGAGGGCUGGUCUCGUGGUCCACUUCUGCACCUUAAUCCCUAUCCUAACAGUUCCCAUCUGCCACUAGAUAAACAUUGCCAUUGCAAAACAAAACAAAGAAACUAACAAAAAUAACUUAACAUACCAUGACUUUAAUUGAUUGCUUUUACGUUGUCUAGCUGAUACGUUUGCAGUUUACUUCAUAAUAAACAUCAGUACAAAAAUAAGGCUAACUUUAUUUUUUUUCUUAGCUUCAAGCCUUCAACGCAA